rnacentral:rRNA from 1 species
GACGAACGCUGGCGGCGUGCCUAAUACAUGCAAGUAGAACGCACAGUUUAUACCGUAGCUUGCUACACCAUAGACUGUGAGUUGCGAACGGGUGAGUAACGCGUAGGUAACCUGCCUGGUAGCGGGGGAUAACUAUUGGAAACGAUAGCUAAUACCGCAUAAUAUUAAUUAUUGCAUGAUAAUUAAUUGAAAGGUGCAAUUGCACCACUACCAGAUGGACCUGCGUUGUAUUAGCUAGUAGGUGAGGUAACGGCUCACCUAGGCGACGAUACAUAGCCGACCUGAGAGGGUGAUCGGCCACACUGGGACUGAGACACGGCCCAGACUCCUACGGGAGGCAGCAGUAGGGAAUCUUCGGCAAUGGACGAAAGUCUGACCGAGCAACGCCGCGUGAGUGAAGAAGGUUUUCGGAUCGUAAAGCUCGGUUGUAAGAGAAGAACGGGUGUGAGAGUGGAAAGUUCACACUGUGACGGUAGCUUACCAGAAAGGGACGGCUAACUACGUG